AUUAUCCAUCCACUGUGCCAUCAAUGCUCAGUGCCUCCCAAAGCUACAGACCUGGGUUACUGAAAGGAUAGUAAUGCCUUUCACAGAAAUUGGGAUAUUUCAGCAUGAUGGCAUAGCUACUGCUCUCACUGCCUAGUUUUCUUCCUCUUCACUCAAGGCUAGAACAAAGUAAAUAUUUGCAUAUAUUAAAAAAAGGCAAUCACAUGGUUGCCCAGCAGGAAGUGACAUCUGAAACAACUGAGAGAAGGUGACCACUACCAGGAUGAUGAGCCUAAGCCAUGUUUUGGCUUGCCAAAGCACUUGGACCUUGAGUAAGCUACUCAGAGAGGGUGAGAAGGUUGUCCUAUUCCACGAGAGCCUGAACACUGCAAAGAGGCAAGGAACGAACUGAACAGGUUCUGGGUAGAAGAUAAUGAUUUCUUAAGUGGAGUACCAGUGCU